UACGGGGGGGGCAAGCGUUGUUCGGAAUUACUGGGCGUAAAGGGCUCGUAGGCGGCCAACUAAGUCAGACGUGAAAUCCCUCGGCUUAACCGGGGAACUGCAUCUGAUACUGGAUGGCUUGAGAUUGGGAGAGGGAUGCGGAAUUCCAGGUGUAGCGGUGAAAUGCGUAGAUAUCAGGAGGAACACCGAUGGCGAAGGCAGGUCUCUGGGCCGAUACUGACGCUGAGGAGCGAAAGCGUGGGGAGCGAACAGG
rnacentral:rRNA from 1 species